AGCGCGCGCGCACGAGCACGGCCCUGCGCGCCGCUCACUGCCCUCACGUGCGCGGCCCGCUCGCGGCUGCGCGCUCAUGCGCCGCUCGGCAAGGACGACGGCUCAGGCUGUUCGCGGUCGUUUCCUCAGGGCCCCCCGAGAGCCGAGGGGGCGGACACCCUCCAUUCUCUCAGCUCCGCACGGCUGACCGGGUGGGCCGCGGGAGGACACAGAGGGGCAGUGAGGGGUGGCUCCGCGCGAGCCCAAGGCCGAUCAGAGGCGCAGGAAACCUGGAGGGCCCGGCUGCCACCUUCAGCGCGUGCCCGCCGCCCCGCCCCUUCCCUCCGUCAGGGGAGCGACAACGCGCAGGCCCGAGGCGUGGCCCCCGCCCCGCGCAUGCGUGCGAGGAUCUGUGCGCUCCCGCCGGCCCGCACGAGGGCGGGGCAGGUCAGGUAGCCUGUGUGUGGCCGCUGCCUCGGUCUCUGACCCAGGCGUGACAGCUACCGGCACCAGGAGACCAGAGGCUUCCCGAGGACCCGCGGCAACGUGUGAUGCCGGAAUACGAAAGAAGCUAACCUCAAAGUCAGGCUUUAAAACCAUGCCCUGGCCUGUUGGGACUGGCUUUUACUUCAAGGAAGUACAACUCCUGCACCAAAGCAACAUGGACCCUCCCUGGGCCAGCACUUGAAGAAGUCUCUGCCCGUUCCUCCUCCAGCUGGGCCCAUACUCACAAGGAGUCCUUAAGAUCAAGAUGCAGAUAAGAUGCUGGAUGCCCAGAAGCCGUGGCUUUUAUCAGUGCCCCAUUUCCUUGUGACCAGGACUGGCCUGGGUGAGGACUGAAGUGCUGCCCUCCCACAGCACCACCUGGAACAGGCCAUCCUGAAGAGAUGGAUGCUAAGGCCAGUUAGCACCCUGUUUUGCUAAUUGGAUGUGGCGGUGUAUGCCUGUAAUCUUACCACUCUGUGAGGCUGAUGCAGGAGGAUUCCAAGUUUGAGCCCAGCCUGGGCAACUUCAUGACUUCGUAAGACCUGUCUCAAAAUGAAAAAGAGGUGGGGAUGUGGAUUUGGGUUCAAUCCCUUAUACUGCCAAGAAAAUAAAGUUUGAACUAUUGUCUGAUGUCUUAGUCGAUUUUGUUGCUAUAAAAAAAUAGCUGAUGCAAAGGGGU